GUCCACGCUGUAAACGAUGGGCACUAGGUGUCGCGGGUAUUGACCCCUGCGGUGCCGCAGCUAACGCAUUAAGUGCCCCGCCUGGGGACUACGGCCGCAAGGUUAAAACUCAAAGGAAUUGACGGGGGCCCGCACAAGCGGUGGAGCAUGUGGUUCAAUUCGACGCAACGCGAAGAACCUUACCCGGGCUAGACAACAGAGGACAGCCUUAGAAAUAAGGUCUUCCCUUCGGGGACCUCUGGUUCAGGUGCUGCAUGGCUGUCGU
rnacentral:rRNA from 1 species